CAACAAAAUCAUGAACAAAUUGAUUAAUUAAAAUUAAGAAACAUAUUCAUUUAUAUAUAAUAAUUAACCCAAAGCAAUCCUGACUAAAAUAAAGUUAAAAUCGAGGUCCCUUUUUCUUGUGGAUUCAAGAUGGUUUCUUGUAAAAACACAAUAAAAAAUAGAAUAUAAUAUGAAUUGUUCUGUCCCAAGUAAAAGAUUAAAAAUGGUUCAUAAUAAUUUAGUGAUAAAAAUGUCAUAUUUCAUCUGUGGUAAUUUAUGUUAAAAAGGAGAGUCAUGUAGUUAAAAAAUAUUUUUCUAUACAGUCAGCAUUACUUUUUCUGUAUCUUAUUUUGAAGGAGUAAUCUGUGUUCGCAAUGCAUUGUGGGAAGCAGAAGCUGCAGUCAUUUGGGAAAAAGCAUUGUACAGGAAGCCUGCCUAUCCGUGUUUAAACUUCAUCUCCUGUGCCCUGAAUCUUUAUAUAUACCAUCGAAAGCAAUGGCUUUUCACUCAGCACUUUCAUCGAGCUAUUCAAGCCACAAUUGUAAAAGAUUGUAAGCUGUCGAGAAGACCGUAAUAAAGGAGCAAGACGCUCAGUUUCCUGGCUCAUGAAAAUUGAGUUUGGCUUGCUGUUGACCUGCGUUAACAUACACAGUGUAUCCAACACGUAGCGAUAACAGUACAUGAAUUGAUAUGAUUUUUUUAUGUAAUAUGUUUCUCAUUAAGAGUCUGUUUCUGUGUUAGGCCUUUUUGUGUUCCCAUUUUAUUUUUGUAGUCUAUUAUGCUUUGUAUUCAGUUUCAUUUCCCUUGCCUUAUCCCUGAUUAAGUUUAGCUGUGUUAGCCUUGUGUUUCCAUUCUACCCUGAUUGCUCUCAGUGUCUGCGUAUUUGAAACCUGGGAUAAUGUUUGUUCAUUGUUGUGCUGCACUGCUGUCUUUAGUGUUUAUUCUGCCAAUUUGUUCCAAGAUCCUUCCUUGUGUUUUCCCCAUUAUUUCUAGUGCUCUAUACUGGACUGCCAUAUAUAGAGAGCUUACUGACAACAGUUUAUGUUACUCAUGUUUUCUGCCAGUAACUAGUUUAUUAGUUAGUAUAAGUUUAUUUAUAUUGUAUGUUGUUGUAUUUAUAUUGUUAAUAAAGUUAAUUUAUUUAGUAUUUUGAGAUUAUUUGACAUUCCUGAAAUAACAAAAACUAAUUGAUAAAAUGAAAUUAAGAAACAUGUUCAUUUAUAUUUUUAUAUAUAAUACUUAACUAGCCAAAAUAAAGUAAUGAACAAGGUCCCUUUUUCUUGUCAAUUCAUACACGUUUUUCAUUCAAUUCAGUGCAAUUCAAAUUUAUGUAUAUAGCAACAACAAUUGCAUCAAGGCACUUUAUGUCUUGAGGCAAGGUAAAAACAAAUAAUACAAAAAAACAAACAAACAAAGAAAACCCCAACAAUCAUAUGACCUGCUAUGGGCAAGUGCUUUGGCUACAAUGGAAAGGAGACACUCCCUUUUAACAGGAAGAAACCUGAGGAAAGUUCCCACAGGUGAUACUGAGGACAAAACACAGAGAUGAAACUAGAACAGACUGGGCAUGAAAGGUCAAACAAUCUAGUAGGUUCAAACAAGGAACCAAGAACUAGAGGCAAAACCCAGAGGCACUAGGAAAUACUAUACUCAAGACUAAAUAAUGCAGAACUUGAACAUAAGUCAUCUCUUAAAUCCAAAAGAAACACAUUUUGAGUCCACAAAAAACACACAACAAAGGACCAUGGUGAUAAUGUAUUUGAUUUCUGUGCCAACUCUAAACUUAUAUUCUUUUUUUGCAGUAACUAUAACAUAAAUCUAUCCCCUAAACCUAUUCUUGUAUGUUUUCAAAACCUGAAAGCUUACAUUUUACUACAAAAAAAAGCAACAAUAAAUUCAACCAUAUGCCAAUCUUGAUCCUUCAUUUCUUUAUAUUUUGAUUUAAAGAAGCCAGAAUUUUUUUUGUCAUUUUAUUAAUAAUAAUAAUAAUAAUAAUGAUAAUGAUAAAUUUUAUUUAAAAGCGCCUUUCAAGACACGUAAGGAUUCGGAAUUUCACGGAGAGCCAGUGAAGUUCAUGAGGAACAGGGGUGAUGUGCUGGACGGGGUUCUGGUAAUAAUGCGGGCAGUGGAGAUUUGAACCAUUUGAAUUUAUGGAGGGAUUUUUGAGUGAGACCAUGUAAGAUAGAGUUACAAUAGUCACUGCAGGAGGUAAAGAGACUAUGAACAAGAAUGGACGCAGACAGGGUGAAAAGAGAAGAACGUAAUCGGUUGAUGUUGCGUAGAUGGAAAUAGGCAGAAUGGGUGAAAUCACUGAUGUGAGAUUUAUAAGAUAGUGAGCUGUCAAAGAUGACACCUAGGCUCUUGAAGUGAGGUGAAAGGAAAACUGUGGAGUUACCAAUUGUGAGAGUGAAAUUAUUUGCCUUAAGUAGGUUGGAUUUGGUGCCCAUAAGAAGGAUUAAACGUUUAUCCUCACUGAGCCCAGUUAAGCCCCAAUGCCCCCAGUACCGGGGGCA